CCACCAGUGUGACCGGGAAUGUGGUUGUCCGUGUGAGCAUCACCGUGACCAGGCUUGUGGUGCUUCGACGAGAAGUCCUGAUGACCAGGCUUGUGGUUGCUUGUCGAAACAUCCGCAGCUACAGUGGCAAAAGAUUGAGCGACGGCAUCACCGUGACCGGGCUUGUGGUUCUCCGUAUGAACUCCACCAGUGUGACCGGGCUUGUGGUUCUCCGUAGAAACUCCACCGGUGUGACCAGGCUUGUGGUUCUCAGUCGAAACUCCACCGGUGUGACCAGGUUUGUGGUUGUCAGUUGAAACUCCACCGGUGUGACCAGGCUUGUGGUUGUCAACGUGAACUUCUGGCUUGUGAUUGUUCGUUGACGCGUCCGAGUGACCGGGCUUGUGAUUUUUCGUUGACAUCUCUCCCGCUGUCCAAUACGGCGGUAUAGCUGCGUCAGGCUUGUGGUUCUCCGUGUGAAACCCACCGGUGUGCCCAGGCUUGUGAUUGUUCGUCGACACGUCCGAGUGGCCAGGCUUGUGAUCAUCUGGCUGGACCACGCCAUGCCCGGGCUUGUGGUUCUUCACGGAGCCUCCAAACUCAGGGUGAUCGUAAGAGUCUGCAUUGCCAACCAACGUCUUGUCGCGAGCUUCAGCAACCUGCAGGACGAGGAUCGACAAGAGACAAGUUAGCACAACAAUCGGCUUGAGUAGCUCCAUAUGAUCAUGCAGAACAGUAGCGCAGCCAAGAUGAACGAGAGCCGAAUGAAUAAAAAUGAGACA
rnacentral:lncRNA from 1 species